CUAGUUAACGCUAACGCUAGCUAGAAGGGUUUGUCAUGACUUUGCCUGGAACGCUUCCAAGUUGUGAGUCCUGACUUGAAUAAAUGUUGUCCGGA